rnacentral:rRNA from 1 species
GACCUCGUGCUGUGAGAUGAGCCUAUGUCGGAUUAGCUUGUUGGUAGGGUAAUGGCCUACCAAGGCGAUGAUCCGUAGCUGGUCUGAGAGGACGGUCAGCCACACUGGGACUGAGACACGGCCCAGACUCCUACGGGAGGCAGCAGUGGGGAAUCUUGGACAAUGAGGGAAACCUUGAUCCAGCAAUGCCGCGUGUGUGAAGAAGGCCUUCGGGUUGUAAAGCACUUUCAGCAGGAAAGAAACGCCUAAGGAUAAUAUCCUUGGUCAUUGACGUUACCUGCAGAAGAAGCACUGGCUAACUCUGUGCCAGCAGCCGCGGUAAUACAGAGAGUGCAAGCGUUAAUCGGAAUUACUGGGCGUAAAGCGCGCGUAGGUGGAUGCUUAAGUCGGAUGUGAAAGCCCUAGGCUUAACCUGGGAACUGCAUCCGAUACUGGGUAUCUCGAGUAUGGUAGAGGGAAGUGGAAUUUCCGGUGUAGCGGUGAAAUGCGUAGAUAUCGGAAAGAACACCAGUGGCGAAGGCGGCUUCCUGGACCAAUACUGACACUGAGGCGCGAAAGCGUGGGGAGCAAACAGGAUUAGAGACCCUGGUAGUCCACGCCGUCAACGAUGAGAACUAACUGUUGGAGAGUUCACUUUCUAGUAGCGAAGCUAACGCGUUAAGUUCUCCGCCUGGGGAGUACGACCGCAAGGUUAAAACUCAAAGAAAUUGACGGGGGCCCGCACAAGCGGUGGAGCAUGUGGUUUAAUUCGAUGCAACGCGAAAAACCUUACCUACCCUUGACAUCCCCGGAACUUGUCAGAAAUGAUUAGGUGCCUUCGGGAGCCGGGUGACAGGUGCUGCAUGGCUGUCGUCAGCUCGUGUCGUGAGAUGUUGGGUUAAGUCCCGUAACGAGCGCAACCCUCGUCCUUAGUUGCCAGCGGUUCGGCCGGGAACUCUAAGGAGACUGCCAGUGACAAACUGGAGGAAGGUGGGGAUGAUGUCAAGUCAUCAUGGCCCUUACGGGUAGGGCUACACACGUGCUACAAUGGGUAAUACAGAGGGUUGCCAAACCGCGAGGUGGAGCUAAUCCCAGAAAAUUGCUCGUAGUCCGGAUUGAAGUCUGCAACUCGACUUCAUGAAGUUGGAAUCGCUAGUAAUCGCGAAUCAGAAUGUCGCGGUGAAUACGUUCUCGGGCCUUGUACACACCGCCCGUCACACCAUGGAAGUG